UCCCAAGGCGGACCCUGAAUGUAAGUGUGUAUAUAUCUGGAGGAAAUGGAAACUUCACUGAACCGCUUACUUCAAACCACCAUACUUGCUGGCAAUACGCCACGACAUGGAACCUUGACUCUUCAGUAGGAAACCAGUUCCAAUGUCUUCUGUCUUCACCACUAGUUAUCAACAUUGCUUUCGUGGAGAUAGACAUGCAAAUCCUUCCACUAAUUCUAUCCAACCAAACUUCCUUAUUGCCG
rnacentral:misc_RNA from 1 species